GACGAACGCUGGCGGCGUGCUUAACACAUGCAAGUCGAACGGAAAGGCCCUGCUUUUGUGGGGUGCUCGAGUGGCGAACGGGCGAGUAACACGUGAGUAACCUGCCCUUGACUUUGGGAUAACUUCAGGAAACUGGGGCUAAUACCGGAUAGGAGCUCCUGCUGCAUGGUGGGGGUUGGAAAGUUUCGGCGGUUGGGGAUGGACUCGCGGCUUAUCAGCUUGUUGGUGGGGUAGUGGCUUACCAAGGCUUUGACGGGUAGCCGGCCUGAGAGGGUGACCGGCCACAUUGGGACUGAGAUACGGCCCAGACUCCUACGGGAGGCAGCAGUGGGGAAUAUUGCACAAUGGGCGGGAGCCUGAUGCAGCAACGCCGCGUGCGGGAUGACGGCCUUCGGGUUGUAAACCGCUUUCGCCUGUGACGAAGCGUGAGUGACGGUAAUGGGUAAAGAAGCACCGGCUAACUACGUG
rnacentral:rRNA from 1 species